rnacentral:rRNA from 1 species
CCUACGGGGGGCUGCAGUGGGGAAUAUUGGACAAUGGGCGAAAGCCUGAUCCAGCCAUGCCGCGUGUGUGAAGAAGGCCUUCGGGUUGUAAAGCACUUUCAGUGGGGAAGAAAGCCUUGGGGCUAAUACCCUCGAGGAAGGACAUCACCUACAGAAGAAGCACCGGCUAACUCCGUGCCAGCAGCCGCGGUAAUACGGAGGGUGCGAGCGUUAAUCGGAAUUACUGGGCGUAAAGCGCGCGUAGGCGGUCUGAUAAGCCGGUUGUGAAAGCCCCGGGCUCAACCUGGGAACGGCAUCCGGAACUGUCAGGCUAGAGUGCAGGAGAGGAAGGUAGAAUUCCCGGUGUAGCGGUGAAAUGCGUAGAGAUCGGGAGGAAUACCAGUGGCGAAGGCGGCCUUCUGGACUGACACUGACGCUGAGGUGCGAAAGCGUGGGUAGCAAACAGGAUUAGAUACCCCAGUAGUC